CCAGUGGCAGAGAAAAAAAGCUGCAUCUCCUACCAGCGUUCUUAGGGUGGUUUUCAUUGGAGAGGCAGGCGUGGAUACAGGAGCAAUUAAGAAAGAGUUUUUGAGUGAUUCUUUGAAGGACCCGAGAACAAUGUCAAAAACCCCAAGUAUUCUCUGACCGAUCUUGAUAAUGAAAACUUCAGAACUGUUGGUGAAAUAAUUGCAGCCUCGCCCAAAGAGGCCCAUCUCCUCCCUUUUUCAAAAAAUGGUGCUACAAUUUCCUCUGCCCAGGAGAGGUGGAUUUCAGCUGUCUAAGGAGGAUGUUGCAGAUGUGGAAUCUUCCCUGUGUGCUGUUGUCUUACACUCUACAACUAGACUGAUUCCAAUGCUACAUCAGCUCAGAAAGGGCAUGGAACCGUAUGGUCUUGUGAACCUGAUGGCUGUAAAUCCUGAAGCUUGCCACAGUUUGUUUGUUCCUGGGAAAAUCCUCAAACCAGACACUGAUUUCAUUAUGAUGAGCUGCCAACCACAUUUCAGUGAAAAGGGGACAUCUAGGGAGAGAACUGAGAGGAAGAUCGUACAUUUUUUGAAAGAUUUCUUGCAGGAGAUUGAAGCAUCAGAUGGAAACACAGGCGGUGCAGGUGGUGAAAAAUCAGAGUCUCUUGCUGUCCAGCAUGUGCUUCAGUGGAUGACCGGCCAACCCCAUGUUCCCAUCCUUCCUGAUGAAAAGAGACAUUUCAAAAUAACAUGCAAGUUUGACCAUGAAUGUAAGGAGCAGCUAGGAGAUCACUCCAUUUGUUACCCAGUUGUAAGUGCAUGCAUUUGUACCGUGACUUUUCCACUUCAGCAUCUGAACACUUACACAGAGUUUAAAACAGUAAUGAGUGAAGCAGUUAGAUAUGGUGGUGGAUUCCACAGAGUUUAACACAUGGUUGUCUUGUAAUUUGGAAACUAAAUGAGUAAAAAUGUUUCUAAACAUUAGCUGUUAAGAUUUUCGUAGCUGUUUCAUGAAAAUUACAAGAGUUCAGAACUGUCAGUAGUACAAAGAUAAUCAUUUAACUUUAUCCAGAAAUAUAUGCAAGAUGUCCUCCAUAUAGGAUUCCCUGCAUGCAUUCAUUCUGAAAAGCUGAGUUUAGUUUUUCCCACUUUGCUGAAAUGCUGUAAUGUGAACACUGUGUAUCCAAGCUGCUUGAGACUUCAAGCUUAAACUAAGGUGAUCCAAUCCAGCAGUGCCCCAUAAGUCCCACCUUCCUGAAGAUUACAAUAUUUAUUUUUCUUUCUUUUGGGGUCAUCCAUUUGACAGUUAAUUCAAAUUAAAUUAGUAAUUUUUUGCAGUAUUGCUGGAUUCAAUUACAUUAAUUUUAGCUACAGGAACCCAAAAAAUGGAAGCUGAUUGCCAUGUGAAACUAAAGUACAAAUCAUAUGAACACUCCAUUGUUUAGGUAUUGUGAGAUUAUUAUACUAUCUUAUGCCACGUUAUACCUCUAAUUAAAGAUUGUGAAAUUAUAGUUUUAGUUUCCAUUAUUCUCCUGACUUAGAAGACGGUGAUAACUAUUACAUUUAUUAAACUGAUUUGUAUUACAUUACACUGCUGAUUUAUUGUGAAUGAAUGAUAUUGUUUUAUGAUGUAUGAUACUGCUGCGUUAUAAGAAAUACUGUUUUCAGAG